GUACACGCUGUGACUAGCAUAUCAAUAAGCGGAGGAAAAGAAACUAACUAGGAUUCCCUUAGCAAUGACGAGUGAAGCGGGAAGAGCUCAAAUUUGAAAUCUUAAAGGGUUUCCCUUUACGAAUUGUAGUUUAAAGAAGUGUUUUCUGUUGAGGUUUUGGUAAAAGUUCUUUGGAAUAGGACAUCAUAGAGGGUGAGAAUCCCGUAUUUGACCUUUACUUUCAACUUUGUGAUACACUUUCAAAGAGUCGGAUUGUUUGGGAAUGCAGUCCAAAAUGGGUGGUAAAUUUCAUCUAAAGCUAAAUAUUGGCGAGAGACCGAUAGCGAACAGGUACCGUGAGGGAAAGAUGAAAAGAACUUUGAAAAGAGAGUUAAACAGUACGUGUAAUUGUCAAAAGGGAAGCGUUUGACACCAGUGUUGUUUUUCUGAAAAUCAACUAAAGAACUGUUUAUGCUAAGUUGUUUAGACUUUAUCAGCUAUCUGUUUAGUUUUGAGCUUUUCUUUAAUGCACUUUUCAGUUAACAAGUCAACAUCAACUUCUUUUGCUGUAAAAAAGCUUGAGGAAGGUGGCUUGAGAUUCGUCUUAAGUGUUUAUAGCCUCUUGCCUAUGCAGUCGGAGAGAUUGAGGUCUGCAGCGUAGAUCCUUCGGGGCUAAAUGCAUUUGUGCUAAGUUAUAACAUUUCAUAGACAACUUGUUGACUAUGAUUUGUCUUGUAGCUUACUCGCUUAUGUUAUUUUACCUACGCUUAGGAUGUUGAAGUCAUCGUAUCGCGC
rnacentral:rRNA from 1 species